AUGGUGGUAACGGGUAACGGGGUGUUAGGGCACGACACCGGAGAGGGAGCCUGAGAAACGGCNNNCACAUCCAAGGAUGGCAGCAGGCGCGCAAAUUACCCAAUCNCGACACGGGGAGGUAGUGACAAUAAAUAACAAUACGGGGUUCUUUAGGAUCUUGUAAUUGGAAUGAGUACAAUUUAAAUCNNNUAACGAGGAACAAUUGGAGGGCAAGUUUGGUGCCAGCAGCCGCGGUAAUUCCAGCUCCAAUAGCGUAUAUUAAAGUUGUUGCAGUUAAAAAGCUCGUAGUUGAAUUUCGGGGUUAGUAGGUUGGUCAUGCCUCUGGUAUGUACUGGUCUCACUGAUUCCUCCUUCCUUAUGAACCGUAAUGCCAUUAAUUUGGUGUUGCGGGGAAUUUGGACUGUUACUUUGAAAAAAUUAGAGUGUUUAAAGCAAGCUAACGCUUGAAUACAUUAGCAUGGAAUAAUGAAAUAGGACGUUCGAUCUUAUUUUGUUGGUUUCUAGGAUUGACGUAAUGAUUAAUAGGGAUAGUUGGGGGCAUUAGUAUUCAAUUGUCAGAGGUGAAAUUCUUGGAUUUAUUGAAGACUAACUACUGCGAAAGCAUUUGCCAAGGAUGUUUUCAUUAAUCAAGAACGAAAGUUAGGGGAUCGAAGACGAUCAGAUACCGUCGUAGUCUUAACCAUAAACUAUGCCGACUAGGGAUCGGA
rnacentral:rRNA from 1 species